ensembl:snoRNA
GGCCUCAUUCCAGAUACGAAUGGGCACUGUUGAUCGAGAUCCAAAAUUAGGCAAUAUGGCUAAAUUGAUAACACAGGUCAUGCUUCCAUCAUAGUAAAUGCAUUGUAGUGGUGAGAAUGAGAAGUGCAACAUUU